rnacentral:rRNA from 1 species
UGUAAAACAAAAAAUAAGAGGUCCCGCCUGCCCACUGAUCUUGAAUUCAACGGCCGCGGUAUUUUGACCGUGCUAAGGUAGCGUAAUCACUUGUCUUUUAAAUGAAGACCCGUAUGAAAGGCUCAACGAGGGCUUAGCUGUCUCCUCUUUCCAGUCAAUGAAACUGAUCUCCCCGUGCAGAAGCGGGGAUAAUAACAUAAGACGAGAAGACCCUAUGGAGCUUUAGACACCGAAGCAGACUAUUUUUAAUAACCCUGAACAAGCACUAAAUCCACUAUUCAUCUGCUCCAGUCUUAGGUUGGGGCGACCUUGGGGAAAUAAAAAACCCCCAUGUGGAGAGGAGACCUACAAACCACACCCUCCCUAAAAACCAGAAAUACAAUUCUAAUUAACAGAAUCUCUGACCAAAAUUGACCCGGCCUUCAGGCCGAUUAACGAAACAAGUUACCCUAGGGAUAACAGCGCUAUCCCCUUUUAAAGUCCAUAUAGACAAGGGGGCUUACGACCUCGAUGUUGGAUCAGGACAUCCUAAUGGUGCAGCCGCUAUUAAGGGUUCGUUUGUUCAACGAUUAAAGU